AACUUUUAGCAACGGAUCUCUUGGCUCUCGCAUCGAUGAAGAACGCAGCGAAAUGCGAUAAGUAUUGUGAAUUGCAGAAUUCAGUGAAUCAUCGAAUCUUUGAACGCAUCUUGCGCUCCUUGGUAUUCUGAGGUGCAUGCCUGUUUGAGUGUCAUUAAAUUCUCAACUACACUGACUUGGUGUUGCUUGGAUUUGGGGGUUGUGUGCUUUUUGUAGUCUGCUCCCCUGAAAUUAAUUAGCGGUACCUUGGUGGAACUGUCUACAGGUGUGAUAAUUAUCUACAUCCUAGACGUCUGCUGGAAUGCUGCUUUCUAGACCUUACUUGUAUUGACAAUCUUGACCUCAAAUCAGGUAGGACUACCCGCUGAACUUAAGCAUAUCAAUAAGCGGAGGAU
rnacentral:misc_RNA from 1 species